AACUUUUGGCAAUGGGUCUCUUGGCUCUCGCAUCGAUGAAGAACGCAGCGAAAUGCGAUAAGUAAUGUGAAUUGCAGAAUUCAGUGAAUCAUCGAAUUUUUGAACGCACCUUGCGCUCCCUGGUAUUCCGGGGAGCACGCCUGUUCGAGUGUCGUGAAAUUCUCAAACCGGGAUGCUUUUUUGUUUCUCGGGUUGGUGUUGGGCUUUGCAGUUCCUUUGAUUGGGAUGGCUGGCCUCAAAAGCAUUAGCUGGCUUUUAAUGUGGCAUUGGUUCUACUCAGCGUGAUAAUGAUCUGACCGCCGAGGACAUCUUUCGAGAUGGCCAAUUCUCAUUUGGGCUGCUUCUAACUUUGGUCGAGCAGAUUCUGAAUCUGUUCCACUUUUCAGCUUUUGACCUCGAAUCAGGUGGGACUACCCGCUGAACUUAAGCAUAUCAAUAAGCGGAGGCU
rnacentral:misc_RNA from 1 species